CCACUACUAAUAUCCAAUUCCAGGACAUUUUCAUCACUUCAAAAAGUUUGGCUCCUUUGAAGACUUGGGAUUUUCCUGAAGACAGAAUUCACUUUGGAGUCAGGUCACCAUGAUAGCCUUUUACCAUCUUAGAGCUAAUAUUUUGUGGGCAAUAACCUUGCGAACUGCACAGAGAUUUCAAGUUGAUUAUUUGACUGCCCAAUUGUUUCAAGCUAUGAAAUUGUCAGAUACUUACAAGCACCAUGUGCUGAAAACUACCAUCUUUUGCAGUGCUCACAAGGGUCUGUUUUAAUUGGUGGCUUUACUCAGCCAUGUUUCUGUUUUUCAAACCCCGGAGUCAGUUGGACUGCCUCCAUAUCACCACUUACCACUUCCAAGAGGAGAUGAGUUCCCAGCC
ensembl:lncRNA novel transcript